CUUAACUUAGUUAAUUUUCAAUGAUUCAAUUAAUGUUAAUUAAUUCAUUUUAGUAUUUUUAUUUAUAAUUAUUGUUUUCCUUGUUCAGUGGUUCUAUUUUUAUGACCACUGUAUAUUUAUCUCGUUUUAAAUGCAAAAUUUUUCAAACUACACAAACAGAUCUUUUAUAGCGAGUAAAGAGAGCCAGUGCAUGUUCGCCGAAUGCGCUUUUAGCAAUUCGGUAGUCUGUAUAAUUUCACAGUGGUGCAUGCGAUUGCUAUGCAUGAAGUUAUCUGAAUGCAAGCCUUUAGCGUGCAGAGUAAUGCAGAUAAUCAAAUUCGAUGAAUCCCCGACUUACAUCGGGUUCGCCAAAGAAUUAAGGCCCAUUUACAUCAAUGUAAAUUAAUUUUAAUUUCGCUUUAACAUUACUUUCUAUUUUCCCUAGGUUCUAAAAAUGAGAAAUAAAAAAAUAGAAAAUAAGUUAAACCGAGAUUAAAGUUAAUCUAUGAAUGCAAACGAAUCUAAGAGUGACUUCGAUCAAAUUCUGAUCAAUUUAUCGAGCAGUACUAUUUUGCCAAUAUAAAUGAAAAAAUUAAUUUUUUUUUUGUUAUUUAACACAAGAUUAAGAAAAGAUUAAAUUAAGAAUGACGAAUUCAAGAGUUAGAAAGUUUAGGAUAAAUAAUUCUGCCAGUUGAAUUAAAGUGAGCAAGUUAAUUAGAGUUCGCUUGAAAUCACCCUAACGGUGACAGCUGCGCGUGACAUUCAAUCGUAUCGACUUCGAUCCGACGAACGCGAGCAAGGGCGCCGAAGGGGAAAUUCGCGUAAUCGGGCACGAGGUGACGAAUCCUCCUUCUCCUUCUUCUCCUCUUCCUGCGGUGAAUCGAGGUCGCGUCGUCGUUCCACUUAGCGCGGUCGCGGUGUGGACGCACGUCAUAAGAAAACCAUACGCGGGACGCACACGAGAGAAAGAAAGAGAAAAUAAGAAAAAAAAAUGACGGUAGAAAGGACAGAGACAGAGAGAAAACGAGAGUGAGAACCGGGUGAACCGCUUAUACACGCGCACCUACGACCAAUAAUCGUAUUUUCCUAUUUUCGGCCCGGCUGACCCUGGCCAGCACGCCACCGUUGCGUUAAGGACGUGUAGGAUAUUUCUCAAAAUAUUAAGAAAAUUACGAUUACAGAUUGUUUUAUGUUGCAUUUGCGAGUAAUAGAAAAAAUUUCGCAGCAAUUUUCGAUCUGGAUAAAAAGUUAUUUCAAUUAAAAGUGAACAUGUGCUCUAAUGAAAAUAAUAAUAACAAUGAAACAAGGAAAAAAAUUUGAAGUUUUUUUUAUUUACUUUGCAGGGAUCGUAUAUCCAUUAGAUCCUUAACUGUUCACGUGUCAACCCCGAAAAUGACCCGCAAUAAGUAUAGUGAGCUGUGAGAUCCUGUUCCAUAUGAGAAGGAAAAAAUACGAGACGACGAGGAGAAUCCAUUCGUCUCGGUCGCUCUUUGCAACUCCGCUUCUCAUCUUGCCGAAGCGUGUGAGGCAUCGUCUUGUUCUAGGCAUAAAAAGUGCAGAAACGAGCAGAGGUUUUUUUUUAGCCAGCAUCAUUCAUCCUUCUUCCUUCCCUCUUUAACAUAAAAAGAAGAAAGAGGAAGACAAAUGGAGCAAAAGGAGCUCGGUUGAAAAAAACAGACCUAAGGACGAACGAGCGAGCUACGAGCGAUCAAAAACGAAAGAGAGAAGAAAAGAGACGUGUGACCCAUAUUUUUAGGCGUGAGCGAAAGGACCCCCGAGAGCGCACUGGGUCACACGCAUGAUCGAUCGCGAAAAGCGUAAUAUACUGCAUUCGGAGGCUACCUUGAGCGCGUUCCCUCGGAGUGCAUAGCAUUCCGGAAAAAAACGGACACGUUCGAUUAGGAAAGAAAACAGCGGCGACACGAGAAAUAUAUAGCGAUGAGUGAAUCGCGCAGCUAUGCGCGGCGGAAUAACGAUCGAGUUCGACGAAAAAUUACCGGCCGAGGCGGCGAUAUUCGUCGCGUAACCCUAAACGGCGGGGCUCGCGGUACGCAUCGUGCACACGCGUGUACGUGUUAUGACGCGGAUCAUCCGCGAAUGAGAAUGACAUAACUUGGCGUAAUAACGUGGUAACGAUAAACAGAAGUUUCGAGCGAACGAGUGCGAGUCGGAUGCGAGUCGCGCGUGUCUCGAUCGCUCGUGGGAUCAUCGAUAAUGACGAUCGAUGAUCUACGGUGAUCGAUAGCGAUGCCAGGAGCGCAUGAGACGCGAGGAGGUCGCGCGAGUCCAGCGCGAGCCGGCGAAAGGCUCAUUCAUUCGAUGGUAGAGUGAAGAGGAGGAGGAGGAGAAGGAGGAGAAGGAGGAGAAGGAGGA